AUACGUAGGGUGCAAGCGUUAAUCGGGAUUACUGGGCGUAAAGCGUGCGCAGGCGGUUUUGUAAGACAGUGGUGAAAUCCCCGGGCUCAACCUGGGAACUGCCAUUGUGACUGCAAGGCUGGAGUGCGGCAGAGGGGGAUGGAAUUCCGCGUGUAGCAGUGAAAUGCGUAGAUAUGCGGAGGAACACCGAUGGCGAAGGCAAUCCCCUGGGCCUGCACUGACGCUCAUGCACGAAAGCGUGGGGAGCAAACAGGAUUAGAUACCCUGGUAGUCCACGCCCUAAACGAUGUCAACUGGUUGUUGGGGAUUUAUUUUCUCAGUAACGAAGCUAACGCGUGAAGUUGACCGCCUGGGGAGUACGGCCGCAAGGUUAAAACUCAAAUGAAUUGACGGGG
rnacentral:rRNA from 1 species